UGGAAUGUGCAAAAGCCCAACAGGUUCUCACCAAUAUUUUUAUUUUGUAAACUGCCUUGGAUGAAUGGCAGUAUAGAAUUUUAAUUAAGAAGAAGAAGUUUGGGACUCACCAAGCUCAUCCUGGACACUUAGGGAGCUGAGGAGCACAUCAACAUCUACAUUGAGAAGUGAGAGAGGAAGGGAUAUUGAUUUUGUGUUUCCAUUUUGAUAAUUUGAUUUUUAUAUUCUGAUUUUAUAUUGUAGCCGCCCCGAGACCUGCGGGUAUAAUAGGGUGGUAUAGAAAUUUAAUAAAUAAUUAUUGAUUUUAUUGAUUUUUAUAUUUUUUUUAGAGGAUGGUAAGAAAGGGGACUGCCUUGCCGUGGCGAAGGGGUCAUAGCGGAGAGUUUUGACCAAACGCGAUCCACCUGCAGCAGGAACCGGCAAGCCACUCCAGUAUCCCUGCCAAGAAAACUCCUUGGACAAACCAUAAAAUCAGCCCUGAGGGCUCACUGGAAGGACAGAUCCUGAAGCUGAGGCUCCAAUACUUUGGCCACCUCAUGAGAAGAGAAGACUCCCUGGAAAAGACCCUGAUGUUGGGAAAGAUGGAGGGCACAAGGAGAAGGGCUGACAGAGGACGAGAUGGUUGGGCAGUGUUCUCGAAGCUACCAGCAUGAGUCUGACCAAACUGCGGGAGGCAGUGGAAGACAGGAGUGCCUGGCGUGCUCUGGUCCAGGGGGUCACGAAGAGUCGGACGCGACUGGAGAAUGAAGCUGUUAGACUAUGCUGAGUUGGACAAAUUGACCAGGAAAAUUAGAUACUUAAGAGACCAAAAGUUCAUCGAGGACUGGGGGAAAUUUGUGGAAUAUCUGGAAAGUAUAAGUGAGGGACAGAUAACGCUAGAGGGGUUUAAAAAAGCACUGUGAAAAAACUGAGAAGUAUUGUCUAAAGAGAAAGGAAAUCAAGGGUAUAAACAAUGACAAUAUAAAUUAGGAAAUGCGUAUCUAAAAUAAUGACUAUGGAUGAUUUACGGAGAAGCUGAAGGAAGUCCAGAAAAGAAGCAAUUUGUGAAAAUUGGAUGUGAAAAUUUUAUGUAUGUUUUGUUUUGUUGUAAAUUAAUAAAAAUUUUCAACAACAAAAAAGUGUCGGACACGACUAAACAACAACAACAAAGAAAGGG